GCGGUCAUGGUUUAGUGGUAGAACGCGACCUUGCCAAGGUUGAGACGCGAGUUCGAUUCUCGCUGACCGCACAA
rnacentral:tRNA from 4 species